CAGAGGGAUCAUAUGGUACUAACUGCUCAUUAACCUGCAGCGCAUUUUGUCGCAACAAUCGUCGAUGUCAUCAUAUAAAUGGGACUUGCAUCGAGGGUUGUGCAGAUGGAUAUGACUUUUCCACUGACAAAACGUGUAAUACUCACUGUGGUCACAAAAGGUAUGGUCGAGAUUGCUCAUCAAUCUGCAGCGAAUAUUGUCACAAUAAUCAAUCAUGUCAUCACAUAAAUGGGGCAUGUCCUAACGGUUGUGAAGAUGGAUAUGACUUUAACCUUGACAAAACCUGCAAUACUACUUGCAAAAACAGGAAAUUUGGUAAAAGCUGUUCAAUGGACUGCAACUGCGAUACAUGCCAUCAUAUCAACGGUUCAUGUGCCAUGUUUGAGAAGCAAUGCGACACUGGGUUCAAGAUGGACAAAGAUAUCUGUGAACCUUGUGAACGAAGACGCUUUGGUCCUAAUUGUGUCAAUGACUGCCACUGUGAACAAUGCCAUAAUGUCAAUGGAUCGUGUUCUCUGUACACCAACAAUUGUGAUGGUGGCUACCGACUUGACAAUGGACUUUGUAAACCAUGCGGACAAAGGCAAUAUGGCCAUUACUGUUCUACUGAAUGUCACUGCGAAAGAUGCCACAAUGUCAACGGCUCGUGUGCCUUGUACAGUUCCGUUUGUGACAUGGGCUAUCGGAU